CAUAACAACAAAGGCUCAUAUUAAAUAAAAACUAAGCACAAAAGAUUUUUAAAAAACUGAAGAACACCGGCGGAGAAUAUGAAGACCGGCGGCUCACAUGGAGAUCACGGCGGCCGAAGAUCCUCCGGCACGGUGGCCGGAGGUGAAAAUUUUCAGAACUCAAAUCUUUUUACAUUUUCAGUGCAGGUAACACGAAAAUAAAGAUGGAUUCGGUAUCAGAAAAGGAUUCUCAACCUUUUGAAGUAAAGAAGUUAAAGGACGGUGGUUGUUAUGAGCUCCGGUGCGGUGGUUCAAGGUUUUCCGGCGAGGUUUUUUAGAAAUCCGGCGAGGAUUUAUAAGCUCAGGUGAUUUUGUGAUUUUGUUCUAAUUUGUCAGUCUGAAAAAGGUCUGAAAAAGAGGUCCCUUGUGUCAGUCUCAAUCACUCUUUAUAUAGUGUGAAAAUUAGGUUCAGAGUGAGAGUGAAUUUGGGCUGAAGUUGUGAUGAAUUUGAACCGAGAAUAUGUGGAAACAAAAAUCUGAUUUUGCUCUCUGCAGCCCAAACCGUAAAUCAUAUGUUAUUCCCCUCUAUCCUUUGUUUUUUUAGUCCAAAUCUUCUUUACACUCUCUUGGCAAUGUUCUUGCGGUUUCUAAAAAGGGCAAUGGGCCUAAGGAUUUGAAUUUUUACUUGUUGGUGUGAAUAAAUGUUACUACACCCACCUCACCUUGUACCGUUAUCCUUUUGAAUGCUUGCAAUACUUUUGAUUUUGACUUGAACAAUUGUUUUUGUGAUUUGGAUAACAUUGAUAAUUAUUUCUCCAUUUUCUUUUCAUGUGUAUGAUGACGUGGGCGAACAUGGAGAAUUAGAACAAUAAAGAUGAACAUGAACGAAAACCAAUGAUGAAGCUUGAAAGUUGAUAAGUCACACCCAUGGAGAGCUUGUGAAGUGAUUCAAGAAAAUGACUUUGUAUCAUGGAUGUAAUUUGAAAUUGUACAUAGAACUUGAAUUCUUCAUGUAGCAACACUUGUUAUUUUUUGAAUACCAAAGGAACCUUUGUAUUUCUA